rnacentral:misc_RNA from 1 species
CCGGUUAUUAAACUCGUACUCAUCCAAGACGGCGGCUGGAGAGCGACUUGGCAUGACGAACAAGACAAAUGCAAUCAAGAGAAGCGGGAUCGAAAUGACCAAGAGAACACCCCGGUACCUGUGGNNNNNNNAGACUCAUGCCGAGGCACCGGGCGCUUCAUCUUUUCGGGGGGCAAUUGGUGGAGGAGGUGGUCGGAAUGGGUGGGAGAACUGGCGACGGCGGCGGAAGAACUGGUAGUGGCAGAGGAAGCCCCAGUCUCUAAGAGUUCGGCGGAGGAAGGGGAGCGAUAACGGAUCUGGCCGUUGGCCGCGGCGGUUGCCUUCAAGGACUGCGCUGGUUCCUGUAAUGGAUCCAGCUCUCCUUGUUUAUUAAAAAAAA